rnacentral:pre_miRNA from 1 species
AGCUUUUCGAAUCCGUGCUGAGAUUUCGUCAGAAACUAACUCAUUAGGGCUGAUCAGAAUUCCAAGAUAAGUGAAGUU